rnacentral:rRNA from 1 species
GACGAACGCUGGCGGCGUGCUUAACACAUGCAAGUCGAACGAAGAGCGAUGGAAGCUUGCUUCUAUCAAUCUUAGUGGCGAACGGGUGAGUAACGCGUAAUCAACCUGCCCUUCAGAGGGGGACAACAGUUGGAAACGACUGCUAAUACCGCAUACGAUCUAAUCUCGGCAUCGAGGAUAGAUGAAAGGUGGCCUCUACAUGUAAGCUAUCACUGAAGGAGGGGAUUGCGUCUGAUUAGCUAGUUGGAGGGGUAACGGCCAACCAAGGCGAUGAUCAGUAGCCGGUCUGAGAGGAUGAACGGCCACAUUGGGACUGAGACACGGCCCAGACUCCUACGGGAGGCAGCAGUGGGGAAUCUUCCGCAAUGGACGAAAGUCUGACGGAGCAACGCCGCGUGAGCGAUGACGGCCUUCGGGUUGUAAAGCUCUGUUAAUCGGGACGAAAGGCCUCCUUGCGAAUAGUGAGAAGGAUUGACGGUACCGGAAUAGAAAGCCACGGCUAACUACGUG